UACGAGGGGGGCGAGCGUUGUUCGGAAUUAUUGGGCGUAAAGGGUGCGUAGGCGGUUUGGCAAGUCUUAUGUGAAAUCUAUGGGCUCAACUCAUAGUCUGCAUGAGAAACUGCCGGGCUUGAGUAUGGGAGAGGUGAGUGGAAUUCCUGGUGUAGCGGUGAAAUGCGUAGAUAUCAGGAGGAACACCUGUGGCGAAAGCGGCUCACUGGACCAUAACUGACGCUGAUGCACGAAAGCUAGGGGAGCAAACAGG
rnacentral:rRNA from 1 species